CGAGAGAAAGAAAUUGCCGGGUCCCUGCAAGAGAAACCCCCCGGCCAAAUUAGGUGCCAAGCAGCCGGGGGUAAUACGUAGGGGGGCAAGCGUUGUCCGGGUUUAUUGGGCGUAAAGGGCUCGUAGGCGGUUUGACAAGUCGGUCGUGAAAGCCCGGGGCUCAACCCCGGGACGCCGGUCGAAACUGUCAUGACUAGGGUCCGGUAGAGGUGAGUGGAAUUCUCGGUGUAGCGGUGAAAUGCGCAGAUAUCGAGAGGAACCCCAGUUGCGAAGGCGGCUCACUGGGCCGGUACCGACGCUGAGGAGCGAAAGCGUGGGGAGCAAACAGGAUUAGAUACCCUGGUAGUCCACGCCGUAAACGUUGAACACUAGGUGUGGCGGACUUAUCCACGUCCGCCGUGCCGCAGCUAACGCAUUAAGUGUUCCGCCUGGGGAGUACGGCCGCAAGGCUAAAACUCAAAGGAAUUGACGGGGCCCCGCACAAGCGGCGGAGCAUGCGGCUUAAUUCGAUGCAACCCGAAGAACCUUACCUGGACUUGACAUCAUGGGUCUACCUUCAGAAAUGUUGGGUGCUUUGCGCUCAUGACAGGUGGUGCAUGGCUGUCGUCAGCUCGUGUCGUGAGAUGUUGGGUUAAGUCCCGCAACGAGCGCAACCCCCGUCCUAUGUUGCCAGCACGUAAUGGUGGGGACUCAUAGGAGACUGCCGGGGACAACUCGGAGGAAGGCGGGGACGACGUCAAGUCAUCAUGCCCCUUAUGUUCAGGGCUGCACGCAUGCUACGAUGGGCUGUACAACGGGCUGCGAUCCAGCGAUGGUGAGCGAAUCCCUCAAAACAGUCCUCAGUUCGGAUUGGAGUCUGCAACUCGACUCCAUGAAGCCGGAGUCGCUAGUAAUCGCGAAUCAGCAAAGUCGCGGUGAAUACGUUCUCGGGGCUUGUACACACCGCCCGUCACAUCACGGAAGUCGGUAACACCCGAAGUCAGUGGCCUAACCCUAGGGAAGGAGCUGCCGAAGGUGGGAUCGGUGACUGGGAUGAAGUCGUAACAAGGUAACCGUA
rnacentral:rRNA from 1 species